rnacentral:rRNA from 1 species
UACGUAGGGCGCGAGCGUUGUCCGGAAUUAUUGGGCGUAAAGAGCUCGUAGGCGGCUUGUCACGUCGGAUGUGAAAGCCCGGGGCUUAACUCCGGGUCUGCAUUCGAUACGGGCUGGCUAGAGUGUGGUAGGGGAGAUCGGAAUUCCUGGUGUAGCGGUGAAAUGCGCAGAUAUCAGGAGGAACACCGAUGGCGAAGGCAGGUCUCUGGGCAUUAACUGACGCUGAGGAGCGAAAGCAUGGGGAGCGAACAGG